CUAUGAUACAUAGUUUAAAUUAUUGAAGACGAACGACAACUUCAUAUUUUUCAACAUGACAUCAGAAAAUAUGGAAUCAUGAAUUCGAUACCUGUUUAGAGUGGUUCGACAACUCUAAUACAUAGAAAAGUUAUCGUGCUUCUUCCGACAACUUUACUAAGCAACACUUUCACGAAAGCUCCAGUUUUUUUAGAUCAUUCGUUACUUUUUCUU
rnacentral:lncRNA from 1 species